rnacentral:rRNA from 1 species
GGAGGAAAAGAAACCAACAGGGAUUGCCCUAGUAACGGCGAGUGAAGCGGCAACAGCUCAAAUUUGAAAUCUGGCCUCGGCCCGAGUUGUAAUUUGUAGAGGAAGCUUUCUGGCGCGGCACCUUCUGAGUCCCCUGGAACGGGGCGCCAUAGAGGGUGAGAGCCCCGUAUAGUCGGAUGCCCAGCCUUUGUAAAGCUCCUUCGACGAGUCGAGUAGUUUGGGAAUGCUGCUCAAAACGGGAGGUAAAUUUCUUCUAAAGCUAAAUACCGGCCAGAGACCGAUAGCGCACAAGUAGAGUGAUCGAAAGAUGAAAAGCACUUUGAAAAGAGGGUUAAACAGCACGUGAAAUUGUUGAAAGGGAAGCGCUUGUGACCAGACAUGCGCCGGGCUGAUCAUCCGGUGUUCUCACCGGUGCACUCUGCCCGGCUCAGGCCAGCAUCGGUUCUCGCGGGGGGACAAAGGUCCUGGGAACGUAGCUCCUCCGGGAGUGUUAUAGCCCAGGGCGCAAUGCCCCCGCGGGGACCGAGGUUCGCGCUCUGCAAGGAUGCUGGCGUAAUGGUCACCAGCGACCCGUCUUGAAACACGGACCAAGGAGUCAAGGUUUUGCGCGAGUGUUUGGGUGUAAAACCCGCACGCGUAAUGAAAGUGAACGUGGGUGAGAGCUUCGGCGCAUCAUCGACCGAUCCUGAUGUAUUCGGAUGGAUUUGAGUAGGAGCGUUAAGCCUUGGACCCGAAAGAUGGUGAACUAUGCUUGGAUAGGGUGAAGCCAGAGGAAACUCUGGUGGAGGCUCGCAGCGGUUCUGACGUGCAAAUCGAUCGUUCAAUCUGAGCAUG